ensembl:lncRNA
GGUUUCUGUAUGGGAUGAAAAGCUCUUUGAAGACAGGGACCACCUCUUCUGGGUUACCUGAUGAUUCUGGGUUCCUCUCAGAAGCAGGUACAGGGUUGGCACGUCAUCCACCUCCGCAGAUUCCCCUGGAACCAUGUUCCACAUUUCUCCUCACCUCUUCUCUUUUGUCUCUGUUGCUUGUCUCAACUGAAGGAGGUGAUGAGUAAAUGUGGACUUCCCUUCCUGACUUUUCCCUAGAAAGGCUGAGGGAUAUGUUGUGAUGUGUUCAUUUACUCGUAUAUAUUUAUUGGAAACCCUGCUAGGUGUCAGGCGCUGUGUCAGGCAUGGGUAGAUAAUGGUGAUGAAGACAGACUCAGUCUCCACUCUCUUGCUGCUUACAUUCUAAUAGGGGAAGCAGACAAAAACAAGUUGACUGAUAAGUAGUUAUAAACUUGGUAUAAGGCGUGAAUGAAAAUGAAGUUGAAUAAGAUAGUGGAUAGUGAGAAAGGGACCUCCUUUCCAUGAGGUGGUUAGGAAAGGACUCUAGAAUUAACUCAAGACCUAAAAACCGAAAAUCAUCCAGCUGUGUUGAAGAUUGAGGGAAUAAGCACAUGCAAAUGUCCUGAGAUAAUGUCCUAUUGGACAAUUUUAAUAAUAUAACUCAUGUUAGAAUUUUUUUUACCCUUUGUUAUAGGAAACAAAAACCAAUUUGCUUGUUUUUAUAAAGGGAGGAUGACUCAUUUGAAGGAUAUGAUUUGUCAAAUUUCUUAAAAAAUUCUCCUGAAAUUUUAAUUGGAGUUGCACAGAAUUAAUAGAUAAAUAAGGGGAAAAUUAGCAUAGUUACAAAUGUGAAGUAAUUGCAACUAUGAACAUAACUCUCUCUUUCUUCAGUUCUAUUAUGCCAUUAAAUUUAUCUUAAAAUAACAAAGGUAUAUAUUCUUCCUUUAUUGUUCUGAGCUAUUUUAUCAUUUUUGUUGCUAUUAUAAAGUAAGUUUCUCUUUUCUAUUGUUACUGCUGGUGUAGACACAUGCUAUUACAUUUUAUAGAUUUAUUGUCAAUCUGGCUGUUUUAACAAAUUUGAUUAUCAGUUCUUUUUGUGUCUUGAUUAUGUUCAUUUUAAAAAUACAGAUGAUUAUUGUUGCUGUUCAGUCACUCAGUUGUGUCCACCUCUUUGCCACCCUAUGAACUGUAGCACACGAGGCUUCCCUGUCCUUCACUAUAUCUUGGAGUUUGCUCAAACUCCUGUCUAUUGAAUUAGUGAUGCCAUCCAACCAUCUCAUCCUCUGUCAUCCCCUUCUCCCUCUGCUUUCAAUCUUUCACAGCAUCAGGGUCUUUUCAGACCUGAUCAGAGUCUUAUCAGAGCCAGUGAGUUGGCUCUUUGCAUCAGAUGGCCAAAGUAUUGGAGCUUCAGCAUCAGUCCUUCCAAUGAAUAUUCAGGAUUGAUUGACUUUAGGAUUGACUGGUUUGAUCUCAGUGAUGUUCAAGAAACUCUCAAGAAUCUUCUUCAGCACUAAUAAUGACAAUUUUGUCUCUUUCCUUCUAAUAUUAUGCAUUUACCUUUCUUGUCUUAUUGAUUGGGCAGGGUUUCCCGUAUUAUUAUGAAUGGUACUGGUGAUAGUUGGAACCUUAACUUAUUCUUUUUUUUUUUUAACUCAUUCUUGAUUUUAAAAAGAUUUGAAGAUUUGAGGGAAAUAUAUCUAAAGGGUUUUCAUUAAAUUGAAUAUUAGAUGUAGUUAUAUGGAAUAUAGCUUUUGUCAACUUAAGGAAAGUUCUUUCAACUCCUGGUUUUCUGACAGUUUUUCAUAGUUAAAUAGGUAUUGAAUUUUAUAAUGCCUUUUCCUUUAUUGAGAUAAGAAUGUGACUUUUUCUUAUUUUGUGCAUGAUAGUGAAAAAUGAUAUUGAUGAUUUUUUGUUGUUAUUGUUAUUUAACCAUAUUUACUUUUCUUGAAUAAAUCAUACUUAGUCAUGAUAGACCGGAAAAAAUUAAAAGCUAACAUUUUAUUCAAAAUUUUCAUAUAUAUGGUUAAAUGAAUAGACAUAUAAUUUUUCUUUACUUGUAAUUUUCUUUCCUAGCUUUUGGUAAAGUUUUUAUAAGCCUUAAAAAUUAAUUGAAAAUCUUUCUCUCUCUCUUUUUUGUUUAAAAAAAAACAACAACAACAAUUUGUAUAAGAGAGGGAUUGCUAUCUCUUCCUUAAAAGUUUGUUAGAAGUUGUCCAUUAAGUCACCCAGUCCUCAGGAUUUUUUUGAAGAGAAAGAAGUAUUUUUAUUACCUUCUUAAUUUCUUUAAUGGAUAAUUAGAUUACUUGAGUUUUAUAUUUCUUUUUUGGUACUAAUUUCAGUAAUUAUGUAUAGUUUAAAAAAUUUAUAUGUUUGAUUUAGAUUGUCUUGUUUUAUUCACAUAUAGUUAAGAAUUUAAAAAUUAAAAAAAUUAUAUUUGAUAUCAAC